rnacentral:rRNA from 1 species
UACGAAGGGGGCGAGCGUUGUUCGGAAUUACUGGGCGUAAAGGGCGCGCAGGCGGCCUUAGAAGUCAGAUGUGAAAGCCCCGGGCUCAACCUGGGAAUGGCAUUUGAUACUCUGAGGCUGGAGUACGGGAGAGGAGAGUGGAAUUCCCAGUGUAGAGGUGAAAUUCGUAGAUAUUGGGAAGAACACCGGUGGCGAAGGCGGCGACCUGGUCCGAUACUGACGCUGAGGCGCGAAAGCGUGGGGAGCAAACAGG